rnacentral:lncRNA from 1 species
CCAAAUAGGCCAAUAGUUGAGUUUGAGAUUGCAGCCAAGGAGCAAAUGAAAAUAACUGAACUACGUCUUAACAAGCUCUUUUCAGCUACAACAAAUGCUAGUUUGGCUACCACUGAUCAGUCCACCAAUACAGAUGCGCUAUGAUGAAAGUAGAAGGUGAUUUUAACUUAAAAAGUUUCCUUCUUCCCAAACCCAAGUUCUUCAAUCUUUGUAAUAAUGCCAUGAUGUUGUGUUACUCCUCGAAUCAUAUUCAGAAAACGAUUGCUAAUAUGGAAAGGAAGAAAUUCUAUUUUUAAUAGGAGCAUUAUUUUGGAAAGGAAUCUAUUUUUAGGAGUUUUAUUUUGGAUGUGCCCUAUUUUAAAUAGGAAUAGAAGAAUGGUGAGGUAUUCUAUAAAUAGAGUAUUAUGUUGAGUUGUUGAAGGGUAGCACAAUCAAAAGUCAUGUAAAAUUUUAAGAGUUGAGAGAUGGUGUGAGUGGUUUUUGUGUUUGUGUGAGGGAGAGGGUUUUUACAGCUUUUAUAUUCCGUGCAAAAAAGUUGUAUUGUAGAUGAGAGGGUUUUGCAGCUUUUAGUCUGUGCAAAAAGUUGCGUCGCGGUACUGUGAAACCUCAAGUUUUAGGGCGUAAAACUUGGGAUGAUUAUUGUAAGCCCAUUAUUUUGAUAUAGUGGAGAUUCGGAGUUUGGCCUGUGAUUUUUCCCUUUAAGGGUUUUUCACAUUAAAUCUUGUAUUGUUUUAUCUCUCUUUAUUUUAUUGUGUGGUUAGCGUUGACUUAAUUUUCAACAAGUGGUAUCAAAGCCAGGUUGAUUGGAUUCAUGGUAGAAGGGGAAUUAGUUGUAUUGGUGUGACAAAUAAAGAGAUUGAUGAUUAAAGGAGUUGGUGUUCAUCAUGAUGUUGAUGAAUAAGAAAUUUUGCAGUUAUGGAGAAUCACUGUUGCAAUCGCUAGAUGAGGAUCAUGAAGAUUCUGAUAAAGACAAAGAUGAAGAUUAUUGUGGUAAUGUAGAUCAUGCAGAUGUUGCGGAUAUGAAAGGAAAGAUGCGGAUGUUGCAAAUGAUGCGGAUGAUGCCGAUCAUGAAGAUGAUACGGAUAGCGCGGGUGAUGCAGAUGAUGGUGGCGACUACAAAAACGGUGACAAUGAUGAAUUUGAAGUGUUUGCGGAUUCGAGUCGAGGGAGGAAUUGUUGGGAAACUUGUCGAAUCCUAUUCAGAUAUGAAGUUGAAGUAUUUGGGGAUCCGAGUCGAUGGAGGAAUUGUUGGGUUACUCCUCGAAUCAUAUUCAGAAAAGGAUUGCUAAUAUGGAAAGGAAGAAAUUCUAUUUUUAAUAGGAACAUUAUUUUGGAAAGGAUCUAUUUGUAGUAGCAGUUUUAUUUUGGAUGUGUCCUUUUUUGAAUAGAAAUAGAAGAAUUGUGAGGUACUCUAUAAAUAAAGUAUUAUGUUGAGUUGUUGAAGGGUAGCACAAUCAAAAGUCAUGUAGGAUCCUAAAAAUUGAGAGAAAGUGUGAGUGGUUUUUGUGUUUGUGUGUGGGAGAGGAUUUUUACAUCUUUUAUAUUCCGUGUAAAAAAGUUGUAUUGUGGGUGGGAGGGUUUUGCAGCUUUUAGUACGUGCUAAAAGUUGCAUCGCGGUAUUGUGGAACCUCAAGUUUUAGAGCGUAAAACUUGGGAUGAUUAUUGUAAGCCCAUUAUUUUGAUUUAGUGGAGAUUCGGAGUUUGGCC